rnacentral:rRNA from 1 species
GGGGUCCUUUGGGCCCACCUCCCAUCCGUGUCUAUUGUACCCUGUUGCUUCGGCGGGCCCGCCGCUUGUCGGCCGCCGGGGGGGCGCCUCUGCCCCCCGGGCCCGUGCCCGCCGGAGACCCCAACACGAACACUGUCUGAAAGCGUGCAGUCUGAGUUGAUUGAAUGCAAUCAGUUAAAACUUUCAACAAUGGAUCUCUUGGUUCCGGCAUCGAUGAAGAACGCAGCGAAAUGCGAUAACUAAUGUGAAUUGCAGAAUUCAGUGAAUCAUCGAGUCUUUGAACGCACAUUGCGCCCCCUGGUAUUCCGGGGGGCAUGCCUGUCCGAGCGUCAUUGCUGCCCUCAAGCCCGGCUUGUGUGUUGGGUCGCCGUCCCCCUCUCCGGGGGGACGGGCCCGAAAGGCAGCGGCGGCACCGCGUCCGAUCCUCGAGCGUAUGGGGCUUUGUCACAUGCUCUGUAGGAUUGGCCGGCGCCUGCCGACGUUUUCCAACCAUUCUUUCCAGGUUGACCUCGGAUCAGGUAGGGAUACCCGCUGAACUUAAGCAUAUCAAUAGCCGGAGGAAUCAUUACCGAGUGCGGGUCCUUUGGGCCCAACCUCCAUC